rnacentral:rRNA from 1 species
GUUGCUUAACGAUCGAAUUGCCUUUGAAACUGUCAGACUUGAGUAUGGAUGCGGUAGGCGGAAUGUGUAGUGUACCGGUGAAAUGCAUAGACAUUACACAGAACACCGAUUGCGAAAGCAGCUUACCAAACCAGCACUGACGCUGAAGCACGAAAGCGUGGGUAGCGAACAGGAUUAGAUACCCUGGUAGUCCACGCAGUAAACGAUGCUCACUCGCUGUUGGCAAUAGAUCGUCAGCGGCUAAGGGAAACCGAUAAGUGAGCCACCUGGGGAGUACGAUCGCAAGAUUGAAACUCAAAGGAAUUGACGGGGGCCCGCACAAGCGGUGGAACAUGUGGUUUAAUUCGAUGAUACGCGAGGAACCUUACCUGGGCUUAAAUGUACGAUGCAUAAGUGUGAAAGCACUUUUUCCUUCGGGACUUUGUACAAGGUGCUGCAUGGUUGUCGUCAGCUCGUGCCGUGAGGUGUCGGGUUAAGUCCCAUAACGAGCGCAACCCCUAUUGUUAGUUACCAGCGCGUAAAGGCGGGGACUCUAGCGAAACUGCCGGUGUAAACCGCGAGGAAGGUGGGGAUGACGUCAAAUCAGCACGGCCCUUAUGUCCAGGGCUACACACGUGUUACAAUGGCCGGUACAGCGGGCAGCGAGGCAGCGAUGCCGAGCGAAUCUCGAAAGCCGGUCCCAGUUCGGAUUGGAGUCUGCAACCCGACUCCAUGAAGGUGGAAUCGCUAGUAAUCGCGCAUCAGCCAUGGCGCGGGUAACGUUCCCGGG